AGUUCGUAAGUUUCAAAAUUUUUAAGACUCAAAUUUCUAAAACUUCGAAAUUGUAAAGUCCCGAAAUUCUAAUAUGAUAGCUAAAAGCCGUUAAUACAACGAAGUUAACCGAGAAUAACGAGUAUGUUUUUAUAUCGAUUAAAAAAAUUCCUUAUUUACCUUCUCGCCAUGUUUACCAAUAUUGUAAUAUCCUUUCGACCUGAAACCGAGCAUAAUUAAGACGAAUAUAAUUUAAUUUUUGUUAGCAAAUAAUUAAAUAAAUUCUGGAAAAAUUAUACACGAAGAAGAAAACUUAAUCUGGUUAUUUCGUGACAAAUCAAUAUUUGACUUGCAUAGUUUAUGUUUGUGGGGGAAGAAAACGAUAGUAUGUUUACACUCGCCUUUAUUUUUCUUUCAUUUUUGCCGGGAGAGCGAUCCAUGUGCUAGAAACGCAUCGGUCUGUCGUCUGGCAAGACGUUUCUGACAGUACCUCUUCUCUUUAAAAUAAGUCACUUCGUAACACCUUGAAUUUGUAUUACAUUUUCUGUUGUUUUUUUUAUGAAUCUUCGGAAGUGUAACCACAAUAUUCUAGGAUUUAGGAUAAUUGUGUAAUAUAUUGCGUUUCAAAGGACGUGUUCGGGAUUCCAUUGUUUGGAAAUAUAAGAUAUCGAAGAUUCGAUCAAGAAAGAAAUACGACAAUAAAGAGUAUUUCAAAGGAAUAAAAGUUUAAAUGAAUUUGGAUACAAAACCUGGCAAAAUGAAUUCCGUGAGAAUUGGAAAAGGAAGAGGAAGAGGGACAGUCCAUAGUAAGAUACCGCCUGAUAAAUGCCUAUGUUAUAGGCCGCACUGUUUUGUAUUAUGCAAUGUUUGUGGAUUUUGGACAAAAGGCAGAGUACGUUAUUUUUGCCCUAUUCAUCCACAGACAGUUUUCUUGUUUGAUAUUACGCA